AAAUUGAAGAGUUUGAUCAUGGCUCAGAUUGAACGCUGGCGGCAGGCCUAACACAUGCAAGUCGAACGGUAACAGGAAGCAGCUUGCUGCUUCGCUGACGAGUGGCGGACGGGUGAGUAAUGUCUGGGAAACUGCCUGAUGGAGGGGGAUAACUACUGGAAACGGUAGCUAAUACCGCAUAAUGUCGCAAGACCAAAGAGGGGGACCUUCGGGCCUCUUGCCAUCGGAUGUGCCCAGAUGGGAUUAG
rnacentral:rRNA from 2 species